UACGUAGGGUCCGAGCGUUGUCCGGAAUUACUGGGCGUAAAGAGCUCGUAGGUGGUUUGUCGCGUUGUUCGUGAAAACUCACAGCUCAACUGUGGGCGUGCGGGCGAUACGGGCAGACUUGAGUACUGCAGGGGAGACUGGAAUUCCUGGUGUAGCGGUGGAAUGCGCAGAUAUCAGGAGGAACACCGGUGGCGAAGGCGGGUCUCUGGGCAGUAACUGACGCUGAGGAGCGAAAGCCAGGGGAGCAAACGGG
rnacentral:rRNA from 1 species